rnacentral:misc_RNA from 1 species
GAUGAAGAACGCAGCGAAAUGCGAUACGUAGUGUGAAUUGCAGAAUUCAGUGAAUCAUCGAAUCUUUGAACGCACAUUGCGCCCUUUGGUAUUCCAAAGGGCAUGCCUGUUCGAGCGUCAUUUGUACCUUCAAGCUUUGCUUGGUGUUGGGCGUUUUUUGUCUCCCUCUUUCUGGGAGACUCGCCUUAAAACGAUUGGCAGCCGGCCUACUGGUUUCGGAGCGCAGCACAUAUUUUGCGCUUUGUAUCAGGAGAAAAGGACGGUAAUCCAUCAAGACUCUACAUUUUUAACUUUUGACCUCGGAUCAGGUAGGGAUACCCGCUGAACUUAAGCAUAUCAUAAGCGGAGGA